rnacentral:rRNA from 1 species
GACGAACGCUGGCGGCGUGCCUAAUACAUGCAAGUUGAGCGAUGAAGCUUGGUGCUUGCUCCAAUUUGGAUAGCAGCGAACGGGUGAGUAACGCGUGGGGAAUCUGCCUUUGAGCGGGGGACAACAUUGGGAAACGAAUGCUAAUACCGCAUAACAUCUUUAAACGUAAGGUUCAAGUGUGAAAGAUGCAAUUGCUUCACUCUAUGAUUAUCUCGCGUUGUAUUAGCUAAUUGGGGAGGUAAAGGCUCACCCAGGCGAUCAUACAUAACCGACCUGAGAAGGUGAUCCGGCACCAUGGGACCUAGACACGGCCCAAACUUCCAACGGGGGGAGCCGUAGGGGAAUCUCGGCCAUGGAGGGAAGUCUGGACGGGCCACGCCGGCGGAGUGAAGAAGGGUCUUGGAUUCUAAAAAUCUGGUGGUAGGGAAGAACGUAGGGGAGAGUGGACUGCGCAUGAAGUGACGGUAACUAAUCAGAAAGGGACGGCUAACUACGUG